ACAGAUUUAAACCAAGUUUCAACCAUAGCAUCUGUUUGCUAGUACUGUGAGAAAACGUCAUUAGCGGAGAGGCCUGGAUGCUAAAGUAAACUUUGGGCCUGCUUUUUGUCGUUAAUGAAGAAGUCUGGGUGUCAAAGUAAACUCUGGAACUGCUUUUUGUCAUUAAUGAAGAGGUCUGGAUGCUAAAACAAACUCUAAAGCUGCUUUUGUGUCGAAUACGAGUGAGACUGGACGCUGAGCAUACCUGCGGCGCGAAGGUUUACUGGUUCAGCUGCUGCAGCCUGGACAGAGACACCAGCUCUCACCUGACAAACCAAACAGGAUUCAAGCUUCAACCAUUAAAUAACAGAGAGAAGAGACAGACAUGAAGACAUUUCCAGAAGGUCUUCGCCUGCUGUCGUCUUCUCCUCCUGCAGAGACAAGAACACGUGUUAAUCACAGAAACUGAUCAGUAAAUCAAAGUAUUUGACAUACUGUUUUUGCCAGUUUUUGACACCUCUCUAUAUUAUAACAUGCAGCUUAAGACAAAGGAACUAUCUUACAGUAGCAGUCUUACCCUUGUCUUUGUUUUCCACAGACACACACACACACCUCUACACAGUGUUUGUGGGUUAUGUUAGAUUUUCAUUUUGGUAUUUUGCUAUUUCUAACUGUGCCAUAUCAGUACUCAAAUCCAAUCUAUCACUGUGUACAUAGUCCUGUUUGUACUAUUCAUAUUGUGAGUAAUUUUUAAACAUUGUUCUAUAUUAUCUUGUUGUAUAUAAUGUCCUUUUCUUUUUUUGCUGUUACAACACUGAAUUUCCCCAUUGUGGGACUGAUACAGGAUUAUCUUACUAAAAUAAAUACUUUUGAAAAUUUUGCCAGUCUGUUUAAUAUUGUAUUAAAGUGAAUAUUUUUAGCCACAGGUUAGGGCUGGGGUUAAGGCUUUUAACCAGAGAUUGGAAUUUUUAGCCUCAAUUAUACAUUUUAAUUGCAACCUGCAAUUACAUACUACAAAUUUCUGAAUUACAAAAUCACUUUUGUGAUAUUAAUUUAAAAAAAUGGAGAAACUCAAUUCAAAAGUUGUACUUUGACAUCAAACUAUACUAUGACCUUUUUUGACAGAACAUUUGUUUAAAACCAGGUUUUUUCAAACACAAUAUUAAUCAAAAAUAACUACUACUAACAAGGCAUAACUGGUCAUUAUCUUUCCAAUACUUUAUAGUAACAGUCAUUUUAUCCUUAAAUUCUUCUUUUUCUUUGAAAUGGAUUGCAUGAACUAUGUAAAUAAACUCCACUAAUGGGUUAAGUCUAUUUUUUGACAAAUAAUGAACUAUUCAGACUGAAGAUCAAAUACUGAACAUAAAUAGUUCAUUGUCAGUGUUCUCUGACAGUUGAUGUAAAGCUGUUUGUGAAUUACCUGGAGGCCUCUGUCCUGGUCUCAAAGAACUUCUUCAUUGUACAAAGACUGUGAUCGUGGAUGAAGUGCACAACAAUAAACGCUAUCAGUUAAGUACAUUUUUGA